rnacentral:rRNA from 1 species
CAGCAGCCGCGGGAAUACGUAGGGUGCAAGCGUUAAUCGGAAUUACUGGGCGUAAAGCGUGCGCAGGCGGUUGUGUAAGACAGGUGUGAAAUCCCCGGGCUUAACCUGGGAACUGCGCUUGUGACUGCACAGCUAGAGUAUGGCAGAGGGGGGUGGAAUUCCACGUGUAGCAGUGAAAUGCGUAGAGAUGUGGAGGAACACCGAUGGCGAAGGCAGCCCCCUGGGCCAAUACUGACGCUCAUGCACGAAAGCGUGGGGGGCAAACAGGAUUAGAUACCCCCGUAGUCCCUGUCUCUUAUAC